ACCCCUUAAACGAAACCAGAAUCGUGAAGGAAGGGAGGAAAUUCGGGUGUUACAUAAAAAGAAAAGGGAAAAUAAUUAGAAUAAACGCUAAAGAUUAAUUAAAAAGGGUGAGUAAGUGGAAAUUUCGGCAGCAUCUGUAACAUUCAGGAAAAUUAAUAUUUUAAGACGAGUAAGUUUAAGAUAAUUAUCAGUGAUUUUAAAUACACAUGACAUGAAACAUUCUCAAUUUAAUUUCUCACGUCUUUUCCUUUUCUCUUAAUAUAAAAAAUAAUAAUAAUAAAACCCUCCUCUUUCUCUCUCACACUCAAAUGAACUCAAAAGAAUCAGCAGCAUCACUCCAUUAAACACAUUGGAAUCUCAAGAACCCUUAUCUUCCUCCUUUCUCUCGCCAUUCCCUCUGAAAAUGGCAGUAUCACACUGAACUUCGUCAACUAAUAGUCGAUCUCCUUCCCUUCAUGACAUUCUCUUUGAAUCUUCAAACCCGUAUUUCUCUAAAUUUCUAUGAAGAAAACGUCAAUGGCUGCGAGGGCAUGACCGUUCUUCUUUCCUCUGAUCUUCGAAGGACCUGCGUGUGUGCGAAAAUGGCUAAUUGAUCUUUCUUGCUCCUUCCUCUGAAAUUCGAAGCAACAUCAAUUAUCUGUUCUUUGGUGUCUUUUCAAAACAGUCACAACAGGAAACGAUUUCUCUGCGCGCUCUUUCUAGUUGAUAGCUGCGAAUCGAUCACGGCUCUUUGAAGCGUCGUCUUUGUUUGUCUACAGAUCGGAACCAGACGGGAAUAAUGGAUUAGCGGAGGUGAUUAGUGGUUCCAAGGAUGUAUAUUGAGCUGAGCACUUAGGAAUUUGUAGUUUUGUAUUAGGAUUUUGGAUAAAUGUAUAUUUGUUUUGGUUGUGUUGGUUAUAUCGAACUUGUAAGAAUUGUAUGAUUAGCUGUUUUAGUUAGAUGUGCUGUUUGAAAAUUAGCUGAGUUAGUCACGUUAAAGAGCUUGUGACCCUUUGCUUGAGUUUUGGAAGUGUGAUUUCAGUUUCUUGGGAAACGAAUCCAGUGAUGACCCUGUUUACCCAGUCAACGGUAAGUCGGGUUGUUACAGCAUCUCUGCUAAAAACUGAGGAUGUGAUGAGAAUAUAUAUAUGGAUAACAUAACUAAAAUAAUCUAAGGCCUUUAAUGCUUUCAAAAAUACGUCACGACGGAAAGAAUCAUCGUCGGCUCCUCAAAUCAUCAACUCUAACGAGGAUCGUGGUUCCAGUGUUAACGCAUCGAUCUGACGGGUACUCAAGGUGUAUUUUCACUACUAUACAUCCAAAAAUUACGCAGCGGAACUAUGGAUUAUACAAGGAGUCACAUGGCUCCAUACAAAAGAAAUUUACACAUUCCCAAAAGAAAACUUUACAAGUAAUAUAGCUGCUAUAAGCAUUGGACUAUUUGUAUAAAAUUGUUACGAUCGUACUCCACUCUUUCCCCCAAUGCAUAGCAAAAAGAGCUCUUAUACCUGUCAUGUCAAGCUAUAAUCCU